UUUAGAUAGCUUAAUUUAGAGCAUAAUAUUGAAGAUAUUAAGGUAAUAUUUAUUUCUAAAUAU
rnacentral:tRNA from 1 species